rnacentral:rRNA from 1 species
UGGGGAAUUGUUCGCAAUGGGCGCAAGCCUGACGACGCAACGCCGCGUGGAGGAUGAAGAUCUUCGGGUCGUAAACUCCUUUCGAUCGGGAAGAAUGUUUCGGGGGUGAAUACUCCCCGAAAGUGACGGUACCGAGAGAAGAAGCCCCGGCUAACUCCGUGCCAGCAGCCGCGGUAAUACGGGGGGGGCAAGCGUUGUUCGGAAUUACUGGGCGUAAAGGGCGUGUAGGCGGCCAACUAAGUCCGACGUGAAAUCCCUAGGCUUAACCUAGGAACUGCGUCGGAUACUGGAUGGCUUGAAUCCGGGAGAGGGAUGCGGAAUUCCAGGUGUAGCGGUGAAAUGCGUAGAUAUCUGGAGGAACACCGGUGGCGAAGGCGGCAUCCUGGACCGGUAUUGACGCUGAAGCGCGAAAGCCAGGGGAGCAAACGG